CCUGGUGGGAUUGCUGGCAACUCUGACCAGCGACUGCCUGGCCACGUCCCGCCAGAGGGCAUGGGUCUGCCUUGGCUACCUUCUCCAAAUGCAAGCCAGGACCAUGGAGGUGGUGCCUCAGGCAGAUGAGAUCAGGUGCCUUGGUGAGGAGCUGAACAGCCCAGACACCGUGCAGACCUGUGCCAAAAUAGCAAAGGCUGUUUGCAAGUGCAUCCCUCCAGCGCAGGCUACAGACUUUCUGAC